AAAAAAACAAACCCUGGGUUUCCGUGUCCAACUUUAACUGUCCGUCUUAUAUAAAUUUUUUUUAUAAUUCGUACUUUCAUUGUUGUUAGAUGAUAAAACAUGAUUAAUAUUUUAUGCGUGACUUAUCUUUUUAAUUUUUUUUAUAUUUUUUUAAAUAAGACGGACGAUCAAACGUUAGACAUGGAAACCAGGAUUUAUC
rnacentral:pre_miRNA from 1 species